rnacentral:rRNA from 1 species
GUCUACGGCCAUGCCACCCUGAACAAGCCCAAUGUCUGAUCUCAGAAGCUAAGCAGGGCUGGGCCUGGUUAGUACUUGGAUGGGGGACCACCUAGGAAGAACAGGCACUGGAGGCA